rnacentral:rRNA from 1 species
GACGAACGCUGGCGGCGUGCUUAACACAUGCAAGUCGAACGGAAAGGCCCUGCUUUUGUGGGGUGCUCGAGUGGCGAACGGGUGAGUAACACGUGAGUAACCUGCCCUUGACUUAGGGAUAACUUCAGGAAACUGGGGCUAAUACCGGAUAGGAGCUCCUGCUGCAUGGUGGGGGUUGGAAAGUUUCGGCGGUUGGGGAUGGACUCGCGGCUUAUCAGCUUGUUGGUGGGGUAGUGGCUUACCAAGGCUUUGACGGGUAGCCGGCCUGAGAGGGUGACCGGCCACAUUGGGACUGAGAUACGGCCCAGACUCCUACGGGAGGCAGCAGUGGGGAAUAUUGCACAAUGGGCGGAAGCCGGAUGCAGCAACGCCGCGUGCGGGAUGACGGCCUUCGGGUUGUAAACCGCUUUCGCCUGUGACGAAGCGUGAGUGACGGUAAUGGGUAAAGAAGCACCGGCUAACUACGUG